AUUGAACGCUGGCGGCAGGCCUAACACAUGCAAGUCGAGCGGAUGAGUGGAGCUUGCUCCAUGAUUCAGCGGCGGACGGGUGAGUAAUGCCUAGGAAUCUGCCUGGUAGUGGGGGACAACGUUUCGAAAGGAACGCUAAUACCGCAUACGUCCUACGGGAGAAAGUGGGGGAUCUUCGGACCUCACGCUAUCAGAUGAGCCUAGGUCGGAUUAGCUAGUUGGUGAGGUAAAGGCUCGCCAAGGCGACGAUCCGUAACUGGUCUGAGAGGAUGAUCAGUCAGACUGGAAUUGAGACACGGUCCAGACUCCUACGGGAGGCGGCAGUGGGGAAUAUUGGACAAUGGGCGAAAGCCUGAUCCAGCCAUGCCGCGUGUGUGAAGAAGGUCUUCGGAUUGUAAAGCACUUUAAGUUGGGAGGAAGGGCAGUAAGUUAAUACCUUGCUGUUUUGACGUUACCAACAGAAUAAGCACCGGCUAACUUCGUGCCAGCCGCCGCCGUAAAAC
rnacentral:rRNA from 1 species